CCUAUAUUUAUUUAAUUUAUGCUAGGCCUAAUUGGAAACUAUUUUUCAGAUAACAAUAGCAAUUGCUUCCCUGCGUAUCAUCAUUACUACUGCCUAUAUCGUACCUAUAUUUUGAGUUUUCUGUGGAGAACGAAUGGCUCAAGUUAAUGAAGCUAAUGAAAUAUCAAAAACCUACCAAAAAUAAAAAUGCCAGUUAUGUCUGCCUGUCACCACAUAGAAAGCUUUCCGAAAGACACAAUUCCUUGGUGAACCUAUUGUACUGCAUCAUAAAAGCGGAAGAAGGAGGUGAAAUCAACUUGCCGACUGUUUAACUGUGGUAAAAGCUAUCAAAUCCAUGAAUCCAGGAACCUAUUCAAUUCUCAAGAACAUCUCUGUCAUAAUGUGGUCGGACCCGUUCACCAAGGAAGGUCGCAGUAAUCAAAGCAUUCAUUUUACUCCUAUUAUCAAGUAAUUGAAAAGCUUUGAGGAUCGAAAUAAUUUCUUGAAAUAUGUUAACUAUUUCAUGAUUCAAUGUGAUUUCUUGACUAUUGACAUUUUAAAUUAUGGGACAUCAUGCAAUUUUAGGCAUUUGCCUGAUGCAAAUGGUUGAGCAUUGCCCAUAUAUUGUGAUGAAGAAAAAUUUGCUUCAAAUCACUUCAAUGAAUAUUAAGAUUCAAGCAUUCUGAUUAUACAGAUUCAAGCAUGGGAAGCAGACAAAUUCUGACAUUUUACAACAUUCUACGGGCACAUAGAAGACUGGCUUAUGAUGGCGAAAGACUUUUGAAGGCGGUUACCUUGAUUGGGAUCAUAUCUAUUAAACCUUUGAAUCCUGCUCUCAAAAGUAAAUGUGAUACCAUUCAAAUGGAAUAAGAUUGAUUUGAAUUGGAAUUUGUUAUUCCUGUAUCAUAGUGCAUUUUUCUACUAGUUACCCUACGUAUUGUACAUUAUUGUAAUAAAGCACUAGCUGUUCCAUA
rnacentral:lncRNA from 1 species